GAUGAACGCUGGCGGCGUGCCUAAUACAUGCAAGUCGAGCGAACAGACGAGGAGCUUGCUCCUCUGACGUUAGCGGCGGACGGGUGAGUAACACGUGGAUAACCUACCUAUAAGACUGGGAUAACUUCGGGAAACCGGAGCUAAUACCGGAUAAUAUAUUGAACCGCACGGUUCAAUAGUGAAAGACGGUUUUGCUGUCACUUAUCGAUGGAUCCGCGCCGCAUUAGCUAGUUGGUAAGGUAACGGCUUACCAAGGCAACGAUGCGUAGCCGACCUGAGAGGGUGAUCGGCCACACUGGAACUGAGACACGGUCCAGACUCCUACGGGAGGCAGCAGUAGGGAAUCUUCCGCAAUGGGCGAAAGCCUGACGGAGCAACGCCGCGUGAGUGAUGAAGGUCUUCGGAUCGUAAAACUCUGUUAUUAGGGAAGAACAAAUGUGUAAGUAACUAUGCACGUCUUGACGGUACCUAAUCAGAAAGCCACGGCUAACUACGUG
rnacentral:rRNA from 1 species